AAAGUUUUAUUCUUACUUAAGUAUUUAUUUUUUAGAUAUUUUACAUGUAAAUUUUUGUGAGGUAUAUUGGUAUCUAAAAGGUGAUUUAUGCAUUCGCAGUAUUUGAUUUUAAUAAUUAAAGAAAUUUAGAAUUAGUAAUCUGAUAUAUGGUCGACAAAAGUCGUGCCAGCAGUCGCGGUUAUACGUAGGACUUAAAUAAAUAUUGUUGGUAUUGAAGUUAAUUUGUUUUUGUAAGUUUUAAUUUGUUGAAGAAGGUAGAAUUUGGAAAUUGAAUAUACUUAGAUUAGAUAAUGAAGCUUUGAAAUUUAAAAUUUAAACUAGGAUUAGAUACCCUAUUAUUUUUAUAUGUGAAUUAAUAAUACUUGAGUAGUAAUAGUUAAGUUCUUGAAACUUAAAGAAUUUGGCGGUGUUUUAGUCUUUUCAGAGGAAUCUGUCCUGUAAUUGAUAAUACACAUUAUAUUAAACUUGAUAUUGUAAUUUCAGCUUGUAUACCGCCGUCGUAAGAUUAUCUUUUAAGAGAAAGAAUUUUCUAGAAUUUUUAAUAAAAUUUAUGUCAGGUCAAGGUGCAGCUUAUGAUUAAGUAGGAGAUGGAUUACAAUAAUAUUAAUAAUUAAAUGGAUAUUACAUUGAAAUAGUAAUUGAAGGUGGAUUUGAAAGUAAUAUUGUUAUAUUAUGAUAAUAUGAUUGUAGCUCUAAAACAUGUACACAUCGCCCGUCGCUCUCAUUACUUAAGGUGAGAUAAGUCGUAACAUAGUAGAUGUACUGGAAAGUGUGUCUAGAAUGU
rnacentral:ncRNA from 1 species